UACGUAGGGUGCGAGCGUUGUCCGGAAUUACUGGGCGUAAAGAGCUCGUAGGUGGUUUGUCGCGUUGUUCGUGAAAACUCACAGCUUAACUGUGGGCGUGCGGGCGAUACGGGCAGACUGGAGUACUGCAGGGGAGACUGGAAUUCCUGGUGUAGCGGUGGAAUGCGCAGAUAUCAGGAGGAACACCGGUGGCGAAGGCGGGUCUCGGGGCAGUAAAUGACGAUGAGGAGCGAAAGCGUGGGGAGCGAACAGG
rnacentral:rRNA from 1 species